GAUGAACGCUAGCGAUAGGCUUAACACAUGCAAGUCGAGGGGCAGCAUGGUCUUAGCUUGCUAAGACUGAUGGCGACCGGCGCACGGGUGCGUAACGCGUAUGCAACUUGCCUCACAGAGGGGGAUAACCCGUCGAAAGACGGACUAAUACCGCGUACACUCUAUUUUGGGCAUCCAAGGUAGAGGAAAUGAAAUUCGCUGUGAGAUAGGCAUGCGUCCCAUUAGCUAGUUGGUGAGGUAACGGCUCACCAAGGCGACGAUGGGUAGGGGAACUGAGAGGUUGAACCCCCACACUGGUACUGAGACACGGACCAGACUCCUACGGGAGGCAGAAGUGAGGAAUAUUGGUCAAUGGGCGAGGGCCUGAACCAGCCAAGUCGCGUGAAGGAUGACUGUCUUAUGGAUUGUAAACUUCUUUUGUAGGGGAAUAAAGAGGGGAACGUGUGCCCCAGUGAAUGUACCCUACGAAUAAGCAUCGGCUAACUCCGUG
rnacentral:rRNA from 1 species